rnacentral:rRNA from 1 species
ACGGGUGAGUAAUGCCUAGGAAUCUGCCUGGUAGUGGGGGAUAACGUUCGGAAACGGACGCUAAUACCGCAUACGUCCUACGGGAGAAAGCAGGGGACCUUCGGGCCUUGCGCUAUCAGAUGAGCCUAGGUCGGAUUAGCUAGUUGGUGAGGUAAUGGCUCACCAAGGCGACGAUCCGUAACUGGUCUGAGAGGACGAUCAGUCACACUGGAACUGAGACACGGUCCAGACUCCUACGGGAGGCAGCAGUGGGGAAUAUUGGACAAUGGGCGAAAGCCUGAUCCAGCCAUGCCGCGUGUGUGAAGAAGGUCUUCGGAUUGUAAAGCACUUUAAGUUGGGAGGAAGGGCAGUUACCUAAUACGUGAUUGUUUUGACGUUACCGACAGAAUAAGCACCGGCUAACUCUGUGCCAGCAGCCGCGGUAAUACAGAGGGUGCAAGCGUUAAUCGGAAUUACUGGGCGUAAAGCGCGCGUAGGUGGUUUGUUAAGUUGGAUGUGAAAUCCCCGGGCUCAACCUGGGAACUGCAUUCAAAACUGACUGACUAGAGUAUGGUAGAGGGUGGUGGAAUUUCCUGU